UACGGGGGGGGCAAGCGUUGUUCGGAAUUACUGGGCGUAAAAGGCUUGUAGGUGGCCACGCCAAGUCGGAUGUGAAAUCUCCCGGCUCAACUGGGAGGGGUCAUUCGAUACUGGCGGGCUCGAGGCCGGUAGGGGGAAGUGGAAUUCCCGGUGUAGUGGUGGAAUGCGUAGAUAUCGGGAGGAACACCAGUGGCGAAGGCGGCUUCCUGGACCGGUUCUGACACUGAGGAGCGAAAGCGUGGGGAGCGAUCCGG
rnacentral:rRNA from 1 species